GACGAACGCUGCGGCGUGCUUAACACAUGCAAGUCGAACGAAGAGCGAUGGAAGCUUGCUUCUAUCAAUCUUAGUGGCGAACGGGUGAGUAACGCGUAAUCAACCUGCCCUUCAGAGGGGGACAACAGUUGGAAACGACUGCUAAUACCGCAUACGAUCUGACCUCGGCAUCGAGGAUGGAUGAAAGGUGGCCUCUAUUUAUAAGCUAUCACUGAAGGAGGGGAUUGCGUCUGAUUAGCUAGUUGGAGGGGUUACGGCCCACCAAGGCGAUGAUCAGUAGCCGGUCUGAGAGGAUGAACGGCCACAUUGGGACUGAGACACGGCCCAGACUCCUACGGGAGGCAGCAGUGGGGAAUCUUCCGCAAUGGACGAAAGUCUGACGGAGCAACGCCGCGUGAGUGAUGACGGCCUUCGGGUUGUAAAGCUCUGUUAAUCGGGACGAAAGGCCUUCUUGCGAAUAGUUAGAAGGAUUGACGGUACCGGAAUAGAAAGCC
rnacentral:rRNA from 1 species